GACAGUGGUAGCUCAGUGGUUAGGACGUUGGGCUACUGAUCGGAAGGUCAUGAGUUCGACUGCCAAGCUGCCA